GACGAACGCUGGCGGCGUGCUUAACACAUGCAAGUCGAGCGGUAAGGCCCGUUUCGGGGGUACACGAGCGGCGAACGGGUGAGUAACACGUGGGUGACCUGCCCUCAGCUCUGGGAUAAGCCUGGGAAACCGGGUCUAAUACUGGAUAUGACUCCAUGACGCAUGUUGUGGGGUGGAAAGCCUUGUGCGGCUGAGGAUGGGCCCGCGGCCUAUCAGCUUGUUGGCGGGGUGANGGCCUACCAAGGCGACGACGGGUAGCCGGCCUGAGAGGGCGACCGGCCACACUGGGACUGAGACACGGCCCAGACUCCUACGGGAGGCAGCAGUGGGGAAUCUUGCGCAAUGGGCGAAAGCCUGACGCAGCGACGCCGCGUGAGGGAUGACGGCCU
rnacentral:rRNA from 1 species